GAUGAACGCUGGCGGCGUGCCUAAUACAUGCAAGUCGAGCGAACAGACGAGGAGCUUGUUCCUCUGACGUUAGCGGCGGACGGGUGAGUAACACGUGGAUAACCUACCUAUAAGACUGGGAUAAAUUCGGGAAACCGGAGCUAAUACCGGAUAAUAUAUUGAACCGCAUGGUUCAAUAGUGAAAGACGGUUUUGCUGUCACUUAUAGAUGGAUCCGCGCCGCAUUAGCUAGUUGGUAAGGUAACGGCUUACCAAGGCAACGAUGCGUAGCCGACCUGAGAGGGUGAUCGGCCACACUGGAACUGAGACACGGUCCAGACUCCUACGGGAGGCAGCAGUAGGGAAUCUUCCGCAAUGGGCGAAAGCCUGACGGAGCAACGCCGCGUGAGUGAUGAAGGUCUUCGGAUCGUAAAACUCUGUUAUUAGGGAAGAACAAAUGUGUAAUUAACUAUGCACGUCUUGACGGUACCUAAUCAGAAAGCCACGGCUAACUACGUG
rnacentral:rRNA from 1 species